CUCUGCUGGUUUUUCAAGGGGAACUUUGACUAGCCCACAGGCAUCUUGAGGCCUUUUAGAAAGCGGAUAUACAGGAGAAGGGAGGUUGUGCAGCUUACUGUUCUCUCCCGUGUUCGUGGAAGGAUUGCAGGUUUAUUACUUUACAGUGGCUUUGAAAUGUGCUGUUUCUCUAACGAGCAUGUCUUUAUUGACUUCUGCACUUCACGGACUCCCCUGUGAAGUCUGGGGACGGGAUAAAUGGCCCCGUGCAAGCCACAGCCCAAGGUCCUGACGCUUCCCAAACAAGGCACACAGGUCCUGGGAGCUGGUAUAUUUUAAAAACUAAAAAAGAAAAGAAAAGAAAAAUCUGUGGGAGAUUUGAGCAGUGAGAGUGAAGCACCCAACACAUUUGUGCCGAGUUCGGGGGAGACACGGAUGCUGCUCACAUGUGCUGCCAUGGACCCGUGGGCUCACUGGUUUGGGCGUGACGUGGCAGCGGGGCCCACGUCUGUUCCAGCUCCCACUGGAUCUUCUCCUUCAGUUUCUGCAUCUCUUGGCACUUUCUUCAAUAAAGACUCCAGUUUCUCCUGCAGGUCAACCCCACGGUGGAAGCUGCAGGCUCGGACACAACAGACCACUGCGGGUCCCAGUUUGUUCCCGUGGGUUCCAGCCAGCCCUCGCUCUCCUCCACUUGUGUCCAGCUGCCUGCCCUGCUGGCCUCAGACCCAGCACGGGCUGCAGAAGCCACAGCUGUGGCUUAGUAUACAGCAGUUGCUCCUGAAUUGACUUGAAAAUGCUGCCUCCCUCUGUAUCAUAAGAGGACAAAAAACUUUCAGAGGCUUCUACUAA